rnacentral:lncRNA from 1 species
GGCUGGAAGGCGAGGGGGCGGGGCCGGAGGGGCGGGGCGGAGGCUGCGGGGCGGAGCCAGAGGCGGCCGGGGCGGCGGGAGCGGCGGGCACUCGUCCCCGCCUGGCGCCGCCAGCAGGACCGGCCGGCCUUCUGCGCUCCGGUCCGGUCCCUUCCCGUCCCGUCCCGUCCCGUCCCGUCCCGUCCCGUCCCGUCCCGGCCAUGCCGCCGGUCCCGGGCUCCGGGGGUCCGCCGCCCCGACCCCCCGCCCGGCCCCCGGCCCGCCCGCGCCCGCGGCUGCGGCUCCGGCCCCGCGGGGCGAGGAAGCGCCUGCUGCUGGCCCAGCUCUGCCUGCUGGGAGCCCUGCUCGCCCCGCUCGGGCCCCUCGGACGCUCCUCCGGACGCGCCCCCCCCCCACGGCUUUGACAUCCUGAGCUCCCCGGACACCUUCGAUAAAUGGGAUGGGAGGAGGUUGCUGGAGGCGGUCGAUCGGAACACUACUGAGAUUCCAGUCGACGCGGGCCACCUGCCCCGGAAGAACUGCACCGAACCAGAUGUUUGCUCUUCGGUGUACCCUGGGAAAGAGAAGCAGCAGUAUGGUUGAGGAGCAGCAGUGGUAGAAACAGUAGAGGUUACUGAGAGCCAAUUGAGUGCAAUGUACUGUAUUAAAGACUUGGUAAAUACAAAACAAGGAAUUGACACAUUCCUGGCCUUCAAGGAUAUUAUAUUCAAAUGGGGGAGGCAGACUUAAAAGUACUUGCAAAUAGAGUAAUCAAAAUUAAUAAUUGAAUGUGCAUGGGAAUAAACAUAUCAAUAAACACUGAGAAUGAGUAUAAAUACAGAACUGCUAAAGAUCACUGAUGGGUUUGUAUGACUUGGGAUGCUGGGAAAUGAUCAGGAAAGGUGUUCUGGAG